UUACAAGGUUCACUUGUGGUAACAUACAGUUUUUCUCAAAUGGGGGAGGUGCUACCUCCCUCAGGGGACUUUUUGAAAGGAUGUGCGAACAUCUUAGUUGUCACAAUGCUGGGAAGCAAGUGUCACUGGUAUUAGAGCCAUGAGUGUAGUGAAAUGUUUGUAAUGCUUGAGACAGUCCCACACAAGGCAGAAUUGUCCCACUCCAGAUUUCAGCAGUGCCCUAGGCAUUUCCCCUGUUAAUAAUUAAUUGCUAUUAUAAUUAAGUGCUAAUAAUUAUUAUCAGGAAAGCACUCAUGGGAGGAGCAUAGGACUGAGAGAGAAGACCAGGCUCUUACUGGUGUCAUUUUCCCCACUUGUAAAAUGGGUGGAAACACAAAGCUGGUGUGAGGACUAAGCGUCAAGCAUUUUAUCAGAUUGAUUUUUUUUCUUUUUUCUUUUGAGACAAAUUCUAUUAGGUUGCUGCCAAAGUAAUUGCAGUUUUGGCAAUUAAGAAUAUUUGCAAAACCUGCAAUUACUUUUGCACCAAGCUAACAGCUCUGUCUCCCAGGCAGGAGUGCAGUGGCAUGAUUAUAGCUCAUUGUAACCUCACACUACUGGGCUCAAGCGAUCCUCCCACCUCCACCUCCUGAAUAACUGGGACUACACGUGCCUGCCACCACACUUGACUAAUUUAAAAAGUAUAUUUUAUAGAGACAGGGUCUUGCUGUGUUGCCCAGGCUAGUCUCAAACUCUUGGGCUUAAGAGAUCCUCCUGCCUUGGCCUCCCAAAGCACUGGGAUUAUGGGCGUGAGCCACUGCCCCUGACCAGUUACCAGAUUGUUUUUAUGACACUUUACUACACAGCUUAUGCAUUUUGGGUGGGCCUGACCCCACACCGGCUUUGGAGCUGGGUGAGGUAGGGUGACAUGGCCUAGGGUUACAGUCCUCUAAUUCUAUUCCCAUGGCUCAUUGGUUGGCUCAUGAUCAUCAUCCAGGCCAAGGGUAAUUAGGCCUUGGUCUUUUGUUAAAAGCUAUAGAAGAGAAGCCCUAUUUUCAGGUCAAUUUCGGCCUUGGAAACUGUGAGCCUGAAGCUGUGAGUGGCUGCCAUGUGGGGCCUGAGAGUGAUGUCGGCCAAGCCAAGGCAAAGUCAAGAGAUUAGAGAAGUGGCUGGUGGACAUUAUUCAAGCUGCUGGACAAAGCUAAACCUGGGCUUUAAAGAUACUCCUGGUUAUUUUUGUCAGACACAUUCGAACCAGACACCCCUUUCUGGUAACAUUUAAAUUAGGUGAGAAGAACAUUUCCUUUGUUAGUUAAGCCAGAGUGAGUCUUUUACAACCAAAACAACCUUGACUUACCUGGUUUUCGUCUCUCUGCCUUGAAUUAAGGUUGCCUGUAUCUCUUCCACUUGACUCCAAGCUCCUUGAAGACAGUCACUUUUGAAUUCUCCCAGCCUUCCUAACACUAGAUGUUAAGUGUAGUAUAAAUAAGCACCCUCAAAUAUUUGAUACAUGAGUAAGAUGAAUUAAAAUGAUAUAUAUGAAUUUUGUUGACUGUCAAUUACCUUACAAAUAUAGCUGCCAAAGUUCUCAUGAAUAUUUUCUCCCGAAAUCUUUGUCUUGUGUGACGUUCUGAGCAGUAAGAUUAGUAUGUAAGCAAAGGCAUCACUCAGCCAGUUUGGUUUGCACAUUUGUCCCCAUUCCAGCUUUGUACUGAAGCAAUCUGUCCCUGCUAUUGUGAGCCUAAUAGUCUCCCUCAUUAGACUGACUUUCUGCAAUGAAAAGACCUUUUCUGUUCUGUCCCUGUGUCCUCAUGCAGGUAGUAGGUGCUUAGUUGUUUGCCUCCCCACUUCUCAGCUCUCUCAAAAGCAGCCCUUUGUUGCUCUGGGUUUCUGAGGCUAGAUGAAUUGCCAAGAAAGGGUAUCCCUGUGGUCUAACGGGCCUCCUCGGGGACUUAAAGCAUGUCUUUAAUUUUCUUUCAUUCAGAAGACAAUGGGAGUAUCUACUGUAUCGCUGGCAUUGUCUCUGGGGAUUUAUGCUCUUGUGAGCUUAAAAAUAUAUAGGCAAUUAUGCAUCUGGUAAGCAUCUGGAUGGGGGAAAUGUGGGGUGUUCCUAGGAAGUAAACAGGAAGUUCCCAGACUGCGGAGAAUCAGGGAAAUCUUUCUGGGAGAAGUGGCAUCAAAGCUGAGGCCACGCACAAGUAGUGAGUAGGAAUUAGCCAUGCAGUGAGCAGGGCAGAGGUCCCGGUGAAAGGGAAUGGCAAGGGUCAGUGAGUCAGUGGUGCCAGCAAGCAGGUGUGUUUGGGGAACUGGGCAUGGCAUGGACUGGCAGCAGCAUGCUUGUAGGUAUGGGGCCACUUCAAGAGCUUUGCUUCUGUUCCCUCUUGAUCAGGGUCUCCUUUCCGUAGUCACAUGAGGCUGUGCCCUUCUUUGCUUUAUUUGGUAAUUUUCUUGGCUAUCCUAUUAACUUCAAAGAUAUCAAGAUGUGAGGCCAUGACGUGCCCAGCUCAGCUUGGCCAAGGGCCUGAUUGGUGUCCUUCCUUUCAUCCUCUUUGAAAUUCAGUGACUGACUUCUCUGGAGGCAUUCCAAGCCUUGGGCUGAGCAUAGACUAGCCUACCUACCUCAGGAUUGGGUCCCUGGCGAUUGCAGCCACCUCAGAGAUGAUUCAGGGUGUUUUAGUGAAAAAGAUAGCAAGGACUUAGGGGAAGUAAGGUCUGGCAAUGGGAGGGCUAGUGAUAAAAAGUAGCAUUGGGCCAGGAUUAAGGGGAGGCUAGACCUGCCUCUGGCUGAUUUACUCGGUGACAGAUUCUCCUCUCCACACUGGAAAACUCUGGAAACCUUAUGAGAGCAUGAGUUAGUUGGGAAGGGGCCUGGCAGCCCAGGGACUUAUAUAAUUUAUGUUCCUCCAGUGACAGGCAUUGAAACAGAGCCUUGCCGCAACAUGCAGUGACUACUCUUGGCUCUUCGAUGACAAUUCUUUCCCUCUCCUCCACUUGGGGGUGCCAUUCCUGAGACCUGUUUGGGCUGAAACUGAGGGCCUAUGGUCAUGCCUUUACAUCUUUCUACCAGGAUCUUCCUCAUGGCAGAGGACUCUGGAGAGAACACUGAGGGUCUGGGAGCAAAGCCAGAAGAAGUAGCUUUCCAUCAGUGUCUUUCAAAAAUGUGAGAAUUAGCAACUGGGUGAUGUUCAUAGUGUCCCAUCUACUGCCUGAGGUCCCUGUCAUGCAGCGGCUGCAGGCUAUGCUGUUGCUUCAUAAAGACUGCAAACCUUGGCCUCUGACACUCAAAACCAGGCAAGACUGAGGCCUUUGUCCAUGUACCUCCCUAUUCCUGAAAUGAAUACAACCUUUGUUUGUCUACCUGUAAGAAAAUAGAUGUUAUAUACAGAUGUCCUGGAAUGGUGACUGGAAACUGUCUUUUCUAUCCCAGCGUACUUCAUUUCAGUGAGUAGCAAAGAACGAAGUAUCAGAAUUCAAAAAGCAGGGGAACAUGGAUACUUCUACACCAUCUAUCUACGCCUUUCUCUCCCACUGUGACUAUCAGCUGUUUUAAUACCUGUUUUGUUCAGAGGGAAGAGUUUUCCCAUGUUUACUUCCUCUUUGUUAAUUGAAAAGACACAAUUGUUUUUACUACUUCAGGCUUUCAUUAAUGAAUAACUAUUUUCUGAAUAUUAAACAUAUACAGUUAAAUUUUCUCUAUUAGUCUGUUAUCGGUAGUUUCUUUCUUCCCUCCCUCCCUCUUUUCCUCUCUCCCUCCUCUUUCCACCUCUUUCUUUCCAUGCUUCUUCUUACGUUUUGAUGAUUUUGAUUUUUGUUUAAUUAGUUUUUGGUGUUGCCAUUGGUUUCAUAAAUUACCGGUGGUAAGAAACAGAAAUAAAACAUCUGAUAAUAUUUGGAGACUGACUUGUAUAUGGACAAUGAGUCAUGCUCAUUUUUAUUGAUGCUAAGUGGUGACUUCAAAUCAUUUAGGAGAAAAAUUUUAGUAAAUAAUUUCAAUACACUUCUUCACUUGAAAAAAUAGUAGACAAUGUAGCAUAGAAAAAAAACUUUGUACAUUCCCAUUAUAAGUAUCCCUCAAGCUCUCUGGUGUCCACAAGCAUACACAAUCUAAUUAAUAUAUUACAACUAUAAUUAUGGUGGUUGUGAAGGGCACAUGGGAAGAAGGGGGAUGACGGAAAUAUUCCACAUUGAGCCUAACUGGUGUUUUUUUGUUGUUGUUUUCUUCUUUUCUUUUUGAGAAGAUCUUGCUCUGUCACUGAGGCUGGAGUAGAGUGACACAAUCAUGGCUCAUUGCAGCCACAAACUCCUGGGCCCAAGUGAUCCUCCCAUCUCAGCUUCCUGAGUAGCUGGGAGUACAGGUGUGGCCCCCAUAUCUGGCUAAUUUUUGUAUUUUUAUUUUAUAGAGACGGGGUCUCCUGAUGUUGAUCAUGCUGGUUUUGCACUCCUAGUCUCAAGUGAUCCUCCUGCAUCAGCCUCCCAAAGUAUCGGCAUUAUAGGCAUGAGCAACCAUGCCUCACCUAAAUGCUGUUCAUUGAUGGGCUUCUAGGUGAUACUUCUGUCUGCUGCAGGGUUUAGAGGGUAGUGGGUUUUCUGAGGUUCUCUAAAUCAGGAAUAUACAAUCAGUGAAGCAGUACACUUUCAAUUAGCAGAAUCUAGCCUUUUAAUGGCCAUCUGCUGC